rnacentral:rRNA from 1 species
AUUGAACGCUGGCGGCAUGCUUUACACAUGCAAGUCGAACGGUAACAGGCCGCAAGGUGCUGACGAGUGGCGAACGGGUGAGUAAUGCAUCGGAACGUGCCCAGUCGUGGGGAUAACGCAGCGAAAGCUGUGCUAAUACCGCAUACGAUCUAUGGAUGAAAGCGGGGGACCGUAAGGCCUCGCGCGAUUGGAGCGGCCGAUGUCAGAUUAGGUAGUUGGUGGGGUAAAGGCCCACCAAGCCAACGAUCUGUAGCUGGUCUGAGAGGACGACCAGCCACACUGGGACUGAGACACGGCCCAGACUCCUACGGGAGGCAGCAGUGGGGAAUUUUGGACAAUGGGCGCAAGCCUGACCCAGCAAUGCCGCGUGCAGGAAGAAGGCCUUCGGGUUGUAAACUGCUUUUGUACGGAACGAAACGGUGAGCUCUAAUACAGUUUGCUAAUGACGGUACCGUAAGAAUAAGCACCGGCUAACUACGUGCCAGCCGCCGCCGUAA